UUGGGCACUAGGUGUGGGGGACAUUCCACGUUCUCCGCGCCGUAGCUAACGCAUUAAGUGCCCCGCCUGGGGAGUACGGUCGCAAGGCUAAACUCAAAGGAAUUGACGGGGGCCCGCACAAGCGGCGGAGCAUGCGGAUUAAUUCGAUGCAACGCGAAGAACCUUACCAAGGCUUGACAUACACUGGACCGUUCUGGAAACAGUUCUUCUCUUUGGAGCUGGUGUACAGGUGGUGCAUGGCUGUCGUCAG
rnacentral:rRNA from 1 species